rnacentral:rRNA from 1 species
UUAAAUUGAAGAGUUUGAUCAUGGCUCAGAUUGAACGCUGGCGGCAGGCCUAACACAUGCAAGUCGAACGGUAACAGGAAAGCAGCUUGCUGCUUUGCUGACGAGUGGCGGACGGG